UCAUAAGAGUGCGAGAUUAUGAUUGAAAGAAAAAUCGGCAAAUGCAGGUUGAUGGUUUUGCUGUGGGCCACAAAUCGUGUAAAAUAUUGUAACUAAAUAAUCAGUCCAGGGUGUGGAGAAGGCGAACCAUCCUGCCGAACACCACCAUGACUGAGUGAGAGAUGCCGCACCCAUUCCAUGAAACAACAUUGUUGCAUGCCAGCCUGGUUGCUGAAGCCACAGAAGUAUUUUCAAAGACAAGAACCAAUGCUGAUCAAAACGUGGUCUCGUGAUGGAAUUCAUUACCGGUUCUUGGCAAGGAUUUCAGAGAAAGGAAUAUCCUCUCUAAAUAAUGAUGUGCCAAUAAGCUCCAGUUACAUGAAGCUGCGGCUUUUCGCCCUUGGCAGUUAUAAGUCCUGCAAUCUGAAUCCUGAGGAGAUGAGGCUCUGAAUUCAAUAAUUCAAAAGAAUAAAGUUAGUCAACUCUG